rnacentral:rRNA from 1 species
GAUGAACGCUGGCGGCGUGCCUAAUGCAUGCAAGUCGAGCGAACAGAUGAGGAGCUUGCUCCUCUGACGUUAGCGGCGGACGGGUGAGUAACACGUGGAUAACCUACCUAUAAGACUGGGAUAACUUCGGGAAACCGGAGCUAAUACCGGAUAAUAUAUUGAACCGCAUGGUUCAAUAGUGAAAGACGGUUUUGCUGUCACUUAUAGAUGGAUCCGCGCCGCAUUAGCUAGUUGGUAAGGUAACGGCUUACCAAGGCAACGAUGCGUAGCCGACCUGAGAGGGUGAUCGGCCACACUGGAACUGAGACACGGUCCAGACUCCUACGGGAGGCAGCAGUAGGGAAUCUUCCGCAAUGGGCGAAAGCUUGACGGAGCAACGCCGCGUGAGUGAUGAAGGUCUUCGGAUCGUAAAACUCUGUUAUUAGGGAAGAACAAAUGUGUAAGUAACUAUGCACGUCUUGACGGUACCUAAUCAGAAAGCCACGGCUAACUACGUG